ACAGAACACCAACGGCACCGCCACAAGAACCUCGGAAGCGGAACGGCCCGUCCCGCCUCCACACGAACUAGUACGGUUGCAACAUUGCAUUCUCAUAUCGGAUACAUGAUACAGCUUUAUUGGCCUUCUUUAUUCCAUAAACCUC
rnacentral:SRP_RNA from 1 species